rnacentral:rRNA from 1 species
CCUACGGGAGGCAGCAGUAGGGAAUCUUCCACAAUGGGCGAAAGCCUGAUGGAGCAACGCCGCGUGGGUGAAGUAGGUCUUCGGAUCGUAAAAACCUGUUGUUAGAGAAGAAAGUGCGUGAGAGUAACUGUUCACGUUUCGACGGUAUCUAACCAGAAAGCAACGGCUAACUACGUGCCAGCAGCCGCGGUAAUACGUAGGUGGCAAGCGUUAUCCGGAUUUAUUGGGCGUAAAGGGUGCGCAGGCGGCCUGUUAAGUCAGCGGUAAAAGCCCGGGGCUCAACCCCGGCGAGCCGUUGAAACGGGCGGGCUGGAGUUGGAGAGAAGUACGCGGAAUGCGCGGUGUAGCGGUGAAAUGCUUAGAUAUCGCGCAGAACCCCGAUUGCGAAGGCAGCGUACCGGCUCCACACUGACGCUGAGGCACGAAAGCGUGGGUAUCGAACAGGAUUAGAUACCCCUGUAGUC